UACGGGGGGAGCAAGCGUUGUUCGGAUUUAUUGGGCGUAAAGAGCUCGUAGGCGGUUCGUUGCGUCAGCUGUGAAAACCCGCAGCUUAACUGUGGGCUUGCAGCUGAUACGGGCGGACUAGAGUUCGGUAGGGGAGACUGGAAUUCCUGGUGUAGCGGUGAAAUGCGCAGAUAUCAGGAGGAACACCGGUGGCGAAGGCGGGUCUCUGGGCCGAUACUGACGCUGAGGAGCGAAAGCGUGGGGAGCGAACAGG
rnacentral:rRNA from 1 species